GACGAACGCUGGCGGCGUGCUUAACACAUGCAAGUCGAACGGAAAGGCCUGCUUUCCCUUGUGGGUUGCGGGUACUCGAGUGGCGAACGGGUGAGUAACACGUGAGUGAUCUGCCCCCAACUUGGGUAUAAGCCUGGGAAACUGGGUCUAAUUCCCGAUAGGACUGCAGGGUGGUGCCUGUGGUGGAAAACGAUUUUCUAGUGGUUGGGGAUGAGCUCGCGGCCUAUCAGCUUGUUGGUGGGGUAAUGGCCUACCAAGGCGGCGACGGGUAGCCGGCCUGAGAGGGUGGACGCCCACAUUGGGACUGGGACACGGCCCCGACUCGUACGGGAGGCAGCAGUGGGGGAUAUUGGACAAUGGGCGGAAGCCUGAUGCAGCGACGCCGCGUGGGGGAUGACGGGCUUCGGGUUGUAAACUCCUUUCGACCGCGAGGAAGCCACCUGGUUGGAAGGGUGGUGACGGUAGUGGUAGAAGAAGCACCGGCUAACUACGUG
rnacentral:rRNA from 1 species